UUUGAGCCUCCGCUCCGGCUUUUCCCCUCCGUGGUGAACCGGUGGAUUUCUCCCUGAGGAGAGCGAACGUUUCGCUUCAGUCCGACGUGUUUCCGGAGCAAACCGUUUCUGAAACAAAACCCGCAGCUCCUUGACUUGAAAGCCGUCUGCAGGCAGCAUCCGUAACCAUGGAUACGGCCGCUUCUUCCUCUCCGGCUCUGUGAUCGUCACUUUUGGAUGUUUUUUGAAGUUUGCUUCGGAGCAGAUCCCUUUAGAGAGCGAGGAUGAUGAUGUGGAGGCAUUUUAAUUUAAAAUAAAUGUUCUAAUUAGAACUGCUGUGAUUCUGGACGGAUGGCUGAGCAGACGCUAUCGCUAAUUUCGUCUGCUUCCAGACCGCUGGGAUAUUUCUGUUGCGCCUUCUUAAAAAUGUGUCUAAAGUUAAAACCUUGAAAAUGUUUUAAAUUCAUUAAAAAUAAAGUUGGCAUUAAAUAAGUUGAUCACAAGUCUUAAAUCUUUCUGUGGCAGGACUUUUUAUGAAGUUUAUUUUUCACGUGAAACUUUUCUGUCAGGCAAAGUUUGAGUCACCUACAGACAUCUGCAUUACGUUCUGGCAGGCGGUUUAGGCUACCGUUAACAAGCUGCUAAUAUCCUUGCUGGCUUCAUUUCGAGUUUAUUUCUGUCGCACAUUUCGACAACAAGGCAGUCCAAAGUCCAUCUUACAAACGCCAACCUAUCACAGACUUUAAGACUGAGAGCUGAGAUGAAUCUGGAGGACACCCACGCAGCAGCAGCAGCAGCUUCGUCUCAGAGGAGGAGCAGGAAGUGAAAACGGAGCAAACAUGGAGGCUGAGUGACGGAAACAAGAUGAGCUUCACUUUCACUGCAGAUCCACCAUCAUCAAUACGAAAUAUCCAAUCAGAUAAAAUGUAAAGUCUGAAUAGUGAAACCAGAAAACAACUUCCUUCAAACCCUUCACAAUAAAAGCCUCAAACCGUUUA